rnacentral:rRNA from 1 species
GUGUCAGCCGCCGCGGUAAUACGUAGGUGGCAAGCGUUGUCCGGAUUUAUUGGGCGUAAAGGGUGCGUAGGCGGUUUCUUAAGUGUGAUGUGAAAUCCCACGGCUUAACCGGGGGGGGUCAUUGGAAACUGGGUGACUUGAGUGCAGAAGAGGAAAGUAGAAUUCCUAGUGUAGCGGUGAAAUGCGUAGAGAUUAGGAAGAAUACCAGUGGCGAAGGCGGCUUUCUGGACUGCAACUGACGCUGAGGCGUGAAAGCGUGGGGAGCAAACAGGAUUAGAUACCCUGGUAGUCCACGCCGUAAACGAUGAGUGCUAAGUGUUGGAGGGAU